rnacentral:tRNA from 1 species
GGCCCGCUAGCUCAAUGGUAGAGCAACUGACUCUUAAUCAGUGGGUUCGGGGUUCGAGUCCCUGGCGGGUCA